UGGGGAAUAUUGGACAAUGGGCGAAAGCCUGAUCCAGCCAUGCCGCGUGUGUGAAGAAGGCCUUUUGGUUGUAAAGCACUUUAAGUGGGGAGGAAAAGCUUAUGGUUAAUACCCAUAAGCCCUGACGUUACCCACAGAAUAAGCACCGGCUAACUCUGUGCCAGCAGCCGCGGUAGUACAGAGGGUGCAAGCGUUAAUCGGAAUUACUGGGCGUAAAGCGCGCGUAGGUGGUUAUUUAAGUCAGAUGUGAAAGCCCCGGGCUUAACCUGGGAACUGCAUCUGAUACUGGAUAACUAGAGUAGGUGAGAGGGGAGUAGAAUUCCAGGUGUAGCGGUGAAAUGCGUAGAGAUCUGGAGGAAUACCGAUGGCGAAGACAGCUCCCUGGCAUCAUACUGACACUGAGGUGCGAAAGCGUGGGUAGCAAACAGGAUUAGAUACCCUGGUAGUCCACGCCGUAAACGAUGUCUACCAGUCGUUGGGUCUUUUAAAGACUUAGUGACGCAGUUAACGCAAUAAGUAGACCGCCUGGGGAGUACGGCCGCAAGGUUA
rnacentral:rRNA from 1 species